UAAUAAUAAUUAAAAAAAAAACUGUUUUAAACCCUAGAACCAAUACUUCUUCAUAUAUGUUGGUUUUGGGAGAGAGACAAAUGUAAAAGAAUACUAUCAGAUAAGAAAAGCAAAAUCUUCUCCCUUUCUCCAGUCUUUGGUUGCAUGCCAUUGAAGUGGGGAGGAGUUAAAUCUAGUUUGUUCAGAUUGAAUCUAUUGUAAGAAGCUGUAUAUUUAUCUUAGGACAUGUAAUUGAACUGAAAAUUUGAAACCUUUGCACAAAGCAAGCUCUGAUUGCUGCAACUGAAUGGAGUAAACCCAUGUGGUGGGAAAUAUAAAAAAUGAAACUUUGUAAUAUCAUAAGGUUGAGUGCAUUUCAGUAAGGAUACCAGGAUUUCAUUUAAUGGGCAACUAUUAAAACCUUUUGACAGGUGAGGCAUGCAGCUAGUUUACAUAAUCAAUUUCUCCUUACUACUGAGAUUUACCAUUUGUGACAUGUUCUUCUUCUCUAAACCAUAUGCAGUUUCAAAAAAUAAAAGAUGCCAUUGCAAUGCAUAGCACAGCCCAAUGCAGCAAUGAUCCACCGAAAGGAGUUGGAGAACUUACUCUUGAAUCUGUGUCAACUCCAACAGACAAGCCAGCAGGAUCAGCAUGAACAUAUUACUCUUGAUUUAAGCAUUUGUCUAUAUAACAUGAGUCAUGCUGUAUGUUGGUUGCCUAAUGAAACUCAGUUGUUAGGUUUCCACUGCUAUUCUGUAUAUUUUCACUCUUUUUUAGAAGAAUCUAAGCAAAAGUUGUCAUCCUACUUUCAUUCUUUGUCAUUCUUCUUCGGCCGGUGAUGUUUGUAACUUAAAAAACUCCAGUGGAAAUGAAAUUUCACGUCCUCAUUGCUUUUGUACUGGCAUGUUAUGUUUGACAAAGUUUAUCACAACUAGUUCAAG
rnacentral:misc_RNA from 1 species